rnacentral:rRNA from 1 species
AUCCAGACUCCUACGGGAGGCAGCAGUGGGGAAUAUUGCACAAUGGGGGAAACCCUGAUGCAGCGACGCCGCGUGAGUGAAGAAGUAUUUCGGUAUGUAAAGCUCUAUCAGCAGGGAAGAAAAUGACGGUACCUGAUUAAGAAGCCCCGGCUAACUACGUGCCAGCAGCCGCGGUAAUACGUAUGGGGCAAGCGUUAUCCGGAUUUACUGGGUGUAAAGGGAGCGUAGGCGGCCUGGCAAGCCUGAUGUGAAAUACCGGGGCCCAACCCCGGGGCUGCAUUGGGAACUGCCAGGCUGGAGUGCCGGAGAGGCAGGCGGAAUUCCUAGUGUAGCGGUGAAAUGCGUAGAUAUUAGGAGGAACACCAGUGGCGAAGGCGGCUUACUGGACUGUAACUGACGUUGAGGCUCGAAAGCGUGGGGAGCAAACAGGAUUAGAUACCCCAGUA